AUCAUAGUUUCGUCAAUCAAAAUAUUUUAUAUUCAAUAUGGAUGUUAUUAUUUAAUUCCUUUUUUAGUAGGUCAAUUACCGUACAUUUAAAUACAGCAAAUAGCGGCAACACAUUUGUUGCCGUAGACCGUAAUUAUUCAAGAAUUGUUUUGUUACCGUAGAAUAAGGCAAUUGUCGUAGCACUGGCAACGCUGACACGACAAGACGACACCCAUAAAAAUCCACAGAUAAAAAAAGCUAGAACAAGUGAAUGAACGGAAAAUGAAUGAACGUCAAAAAGAAUGAGCCAUUUUUGUUUCCGUAUUUCUUUGGUUAUUUGGUACGUAAAACGUCAGGUAUAUUGAAUUAUCGGAAAAAUUGAAUUUAUGGAGUGUUUGAGAGUUUCAAGUGCUCUUAUUUCAUUCAAAAGUAACUUUACCAUACUGUGAUAAUGCCUAAGUGUUGCGUUAAAGGUUGUGAUAUGAAAUACGACUGUAAAUCAUCAACAAACAAACGGGCUUGCAGUUCAACGAAAAUUUCGUUGAACUAUUAUUUUGUUUCGUUACGAAAUAUUCACGGUUUGAAAUACGAAAACCAGUUGGAGGACAAAUCUGUCAAAAAUCUGAAAGCACAAAUCAUUGAUAUAAAUUUAAAUAAAAAAACCGCAUUACUAAGUGAAAUACAUUUACCUUGAUCAUAUAUUGAAAUGUACGGCUGUCUUAAAUUAACGACUAUCCUAGCACAUGAUAAAGUGAGAGAUAGCUUACCACACAAGCUCCAGGUCAGGGGCAAUCGUCGUCAUCAGCUAUUCCAGGGAAAUAACAUGAUUUACACUGUCCUUUAGGAAGUACUGGUGAUAUUAUUUACGGAAAAACGAGAGGAUUCUAACUUGGAAUCAUGAUCAUUGUCCUGAUCUUCCGGAUGACAGUUCGCUAACCAGUUUUCAACGAAUGUAUUGUUUUUCUUUAAAUUAUUGUCGGGAAUGGGAACCAUAGAAAGAAUUUUUUUACUUCGGGAACCCAUUGCUCUCUGAAAUAAAAAUAUUAAUAAAUCAGAUUUACAAUUA